AAAAGGCCCUGGAAGACAAGUGUAAUGCAUUGAGGACUGUGAAAGCAACAAAGGAAGCAAAAGUCAAACAGCUGAAGGAGAAAGCACAUCACCUAGAAGAAUUCUUGAACCAAGAAAAGUGGCUACAGAAGAGUAAGAUAUUCAUGUGAGAACUGUCACAAGUACUGCAUUGUAAGAAAUUGCCAAAUGCAUUCAGUGGAAUUGUGCCUGCCCUUCCUACCUUGCUUUCUGUAACCUGCGUUUUCCUUUCUGCCCUAAGUGCUUGUCACACAUUGUGUCAUGAAUUUGGGGCCAAAGAGGGAAUGUACCAGCAGUAACGUUGAUACCUGGAUCCACUGUAGAUACACCUACGUUGUCCUAUAGGUUUCAAGCCCAUCACACUGUUUUGUCAUCCAGCAAUUAGGUCAUUUUGUUCAGGGCCAGACACGGGUCAAAAAUGUGUGGGGGAAAAUUUGAACUAUCUUGCUACAGACACAAUAGAAACUGCUUUCUGAAAAGUGGGUAGGGGUACCAGCUGUACUGAAUCCCUGCAUCCAUUCGGCCAGUGAGAUUGUUCAGUGCAGGCCCAAUCCCUAAGAAAGUCGAAUUGUUUCCUGUCCCCUGAGGUUUUAAGUGUAACUCUUCUGAGUCUUGACCAAAGCCUGCAGCUUCACUAGGGCUCAUCUUUGCUGGCCACCCCUGAACUACAUUUGUUUACUUCUAAGUCUUUGCCCAUAAGGUUGUUCAGCUUCUUUGCCAUUCAGAUGUAUGCCCCCCAAAUCAAUGAUGAGCCCUAGGAAGAUUGGGUCCAACUGCCAGGCUGGCUUUGUCCUGGGCUUCCUUCCUAUCUUGGUCUUGUGUGUCUUCGUGGGGUUGUUAAAUAUUUGGUGCAUUCACUCACAUGCUUCCUCCUUUGUACAGUAUUUCCUUUUGUUCUCAGGACAUCAGGGACUUUAGAGUCCCUCACUCAUGUUGGAAAGUGAACUCUUCCUUCUCUUCCCUGGAGACUCAGCUUUAUGUUAGUCCUUUCCACACCUGGGGUUAGGGUCUGCUCUGUCUCACUGGCAUCUUCUGUUUUUUUUGUUUUUUGUUUUUUAAUUUGUAAGCUCUUUCUGUGAGUACAGUGCCCUGACCACCUUUCUAUCUUCAACCCCUUACAACAGAGCCACUACAUUACAACCACGCCAGAAAGCAUUUGCUGAAGGACUGCCUGAGGCCAGAAGGAAAUGCAUGUGCCUUUCUGUGUCUCAUGCUUUUGUGUCCAUUUCUAAGAGAAUUUCAAUUUUGCAUGUGAUUCUUGAGCACAUUAAGUGUCAAUGUGAAAGCCUUUAAAUGAACACCACAAACAAAAUAGUCUGAGGGCAACACAACAAACCAGUCUUUCUAAGCAUUGCCUUUUGCUGCCUUCACUAUCAAUGGAACCAGUCUUGUUAAAGUAGAUUGGCUCCAUGAAGUUGAGAUUUUUCCAUCUGAAAUCUGUUUCCUGGAAAUAAACCCAGACUGCGUGACAUUUCAUAUCAGGUUAUACUUCAGGAGAUGUGGCCCCUCUACGAUUGGCCUUUUUCUCCACUAGGAUAUGUAAAGGUGGAGGCAGGGGUUGGAGUCCUGAACUCUAGCGAUGUCUGGGAGUGAGCUGCAAUGUUGGUGAAGCCAUAGUCUGGGAGGUUGUCUUUCAGGGUGAUUGUGUCAUGGUACAACUUUUGGACUGAGAAUCAGGGCUCCCCAUGGAGGUGUAAGACUAGUGAUGAUCCCCUGCCUUAUCCUAAUGGGUACAGUUGGUCAGACAUGGUUUUUCACACUAAUGAAAUGAGUCUUCACCAUCUCAAAGACCAACUCUGGGAAGGCACGAAGUGCAAUGUUAUUUGAUGACUUUAUGAUGAAGGAGAGGAAAAAGAGAACUAGAAAGACAGUUCCGAUAGCAGAGACAUGGCAACAGAGGUUGAAUUUUCUUUAACUUAAAUGGGGUGUUCACCUCCUUUCUCUGAUUGUGUUGUCAGUCUGUGCAUUUAUGGGAGAGGUGGGGGAAGGGAUAUCUGCAUAGGCCUUCAAGAGUGCUGGGAGGUAAAAAGGGAGAAUUUCUGGAUCUUGGUCCUGACUGUAUUUAUCUUUCCCAUCUUAGGAAGCUGAAAAUGAUAGUGUGAACUGAUGGCAAAGAAGAAUCAGCUGGCAGCUGCAGGUAAAAUUUGAAAAUAGCUACAGAAAGGGCUCCUGGGGGGCUCAGUCGGUUAAGCGUCUGACUUCAGCUCAGGUCAUAAUUUCACAGUCCGAGUUCGAGCCCCGCAUCAGGGUCUGUACUGACAGCUCCGAGCCUGGAGCCUGCUUCGGAUUCUGCUACCUCUCUCUCUGUCCCUCCUCCAUUCAUUCUCUCUCUCAAAAAUGAACAUUAAAAAAAAAAGGAAAACAGCUACGAAAGAAAUAAGUACAAGUGAGUUCAGUUACUAAUUACCAGCAGCUCAUGAAACCUCUGUUCAUUUUUUUUUUGUUUUUAACCUUUUUACAAUGUUUAGACUCAACUUAGUAAUAUAAACAAAAAUUCAGAGAUCAUAUGCAUAGACUAUUAACAGAUAAAAAAGGUAAGUUUUAGAAAGAACAAAACAAUUAGGUUUUUAAACAUUUGCAGAUCUCAGGCAAUAGCCAGACUGUGUAAGAAACUUUGUCCAUGCCAACAUUCCUUGGGGGUGGUGUCAAUUGUCAUAAUCUAUAGGAGAGCAGUGUGUUGUAGGAUGAAUCACAACCAUCAACAUGGUAGUGCCAUUCCAUGGCCCUCGUCUUUGCAACCCUGGGAAACCUGGUGAGGAUAUAAGUUAAAGAAGAAUAGAGCUUUAUCUGAAAGACACUUGUCACAUGAUGAAUUAGGGAAAGAUUGAAAAUGGGAAGGAAUUCUAUGAACUCUGAGCCCUACGGGCAUGGAAUAAUGAGUAAGGAAAGGAUGUAACAAUAGCUUUGAUCCUACUGUACAUUUAUAAUCAUGUGAAAAGUGUUUCAUGUGUAAGAAUAAAUUGUAUCAGGGGACAGAUAUGAGGUUGUUGGGAACGUGAGCAGAUUAUUUAAAAUCAUACCCAAUACUGGGUCUUAUCUGACAAGAGCAAUUGUAACUCACAGGCAACAAAUUGAACAAACAUGGGAA
rnacentral:lncRNA from 1 species